UACGUAGGGGGCAAGCGUUGUCCGGAAUCAUUGGGCGUAAAGAGCGUGUAGGCGGCUCGAUAAGUCUGCUGUGAAAGUCCAGGGCUCAACCCUGGAAGGCCGGUGGAAACUGUCGGGCUAGAAUCCGGAAGAGGCGAGUGGAAUUCCCGGUGUAGCGGUGAAAUGCGCAGAUAUCGGGAGGAACACCAAUGGCGAAGGCAGCUCGCUGGGACGCGAUUGACGCUGAGACGCGAAAGCGUGGGGAGCAAACAGG
rnacentral:rRNA from 1 species